ACAUCAAAAUUCAGCCACUGCAUCAGGAG
rnacentral:piRNA from 1 species